UAACUUCUUCGUGAAUUUGUUUACGUUUCAUGUUUAGUCUUCUGAUCAUCGUAUAGAAAUCUCAAAUCUCUCGUUGGGUGGCAACUUUCGGAGUUUUUUCUUGAAACCCUAUAUUCUUUUCAAAGCAACUAAUAAAUGAAAUGGGUGUUUAUGAAUUAUGAAAAGCAAAGAGUACCGAUGUAGCUUUUCAUCUUGCUAAUUUAAAGAAAGUUCCAAGCGUUGUACUUUCCUCUUUCCUCUUUUGUCUUUAUUCUUGUAAUAUCUUGGAACCACUGCUACAAUGAUUAAUUAUUAAUUCCGCUGUUUGAUCAGUAUUUAGAAAUUGAGGAAGCUACGGAUUUUUCGACAUGCCCACCUGGUGAUUCCUUCAAUGUUGUGAGUUGUGUACCCCAGAAUGAACACAUCAGUAUUGAGCUCCGAAGGAAAAAAGUUGCCGAGAUUGU
rnacentral:lncRNA from 1 species